GGGAUAUUGCACAAUGGGGGAAACCCUGAUGCAGCGAUGCCGCGUGAGUGAAGACGGCCUUCGGGUUGUAAAGCUCUGUCGCAGAGGACGAAAAUGACGGUACUCUGUAAGAAAGCUCCGGCUAACUACGUGCCAGCAGCCGCGGUAAUACGUAGGGAGCAAGCGUUGUCCGGAAUUACUGGGUGUAAAGGGAGCGUAGGCGGGAGGAUAAGUUGAAUGUGAAAUCUAUGGGCUCAACCUAUAGCUGCGUUCAAAACUGUUCUUCUUGAGUGAAGUAGAGGCAGGCGGAAUUCCUAGUGUAGCGGUGAAAUGCGUAGAUAUUAGGAGGAACACCAGUGGCGAAGGCGGCCUGCUGGGCUUUUACUGACGCUGAAGCACGAAAGCGUGGGUAUCGAACAG
rnacentral:rRNA from 1 species